rnacentral:rRNA from 1 species
UACGUAGGGUGCAGGCGUUAAUCGGAAUUACUGGGCGUAAAGCGUGCGCAGGCGGUUUGUUAAGACAGGUGUGAAAUCCCCGGGCUUAACCUGGGAACUGCGCUUGUUACUGGCAGACUUGAGUGUAGCAGAGGGGGGGUGGAAUUCCACGUGUAGCAGUGAAAUGCGUAGAGAUGUGGAGGAACACCGAUGGCGAAGGCAGCCCCCCUGGGCUAACACUGACGCUCAUGCACGAAAGCGUGGGGAGCAAACAGG